UACGUAGGCAGCAAGCGUUGUUCGGAGUUACUGGGCGUAAAGGGUGUGUAGGCGGUUCUUUUAAGUUUGGUGUGAAAUCUCCCGGCUCAACCGGGAGGGUGCGCCGAAUACUGAGGGACUCGAGUGCGGGAGAGGAAAGUGGAAUUCCCAGUGUAGAGGUGAAAUUCGUAGAUAUUGGGAAGAACACCGGUGGCGAAGGCGGCGCUCUGGACCGGGACUGACGCUGAGGCGCGAAAGCGUGGGGGAGCAAACAGG
rnacentral:rRNA from 1 species